rnacentral:lncRNA from 10 species
CGGGGGUGCUGCGGGAAAGGCGGGGGACCCGGGACUUCCAAGUGUGAACAUUUUCAGUAGAGCCUCUUAAGACACAUGUUUUGGAAUGCAGUCAAAUGCGUGCUGCUGUAUGACCAGCCUAUUCGAUUAUGCCUCCAAAUCCUAUGGAAGUGUAACAACCAUAGAGCAGACAAACACCAACAGCAUCAACAACAGAGAAUCUCAGUCCAGGAGGAUAUGAAACCCUUUGUAAUAAAGAAAGCAACAGCCAUGAACAUUUGUGUACACGUGUCUUUAUGGUAGAAUGAUUUCUAUUCCUUUGAGUACAUACCCAGCAAUGGGAUUGCUGGGUCGAAUGGUUCUGUUUUUAGCUCUUUGAGGAAUAAUUACACUGCUUUCCACAAUGGUUGAACUAACUUACACUCCCACCAACAAUGUAUAAGUGUUCCCUUCUCUCUGCAACCUUGCCAGCAUCUAUUUUUUUCUUUUUUAACCUUUUUUUAUAGUAACCAUUUUGACUUGUGUGAGAUGGUAUCUCAUUAUGGUUUUGAUUCACAUUUCUCUCAUGAUCAGUGAUGCUGAGCAUUUUUUUCAUAUGCUUGUUGGCUGCAUGUACACCUUCUUUUGAAAAAUGUCUGUUCAUUUCAUUUGCAAAGUUUCAUUUCAUUUACUUUGCCCACUGCAGCACUAUUCACAAUAGCAAAGAUAUGGAAUCAACCUAAAUCUCCAUCAAUGACAGAUUGGACAAGAAAAAUGUGGUACAUAUACACCACGGAAUGCUAUACAAGCAUAAAAAAGAACAAGAUCGUGUCUUUUGUGGGAACAUGGAUGGAACUAGAGGCCAUUAUCCUUGGUACACUAACAUAGGAACAAAAAACCAAAUACUGCAUGUUCUUACUUAUAAGUGGGAGAAAAAUGAUGAGAACUCAUGAACACAAAGAAGGGAACAACAGACACAGGGUCUAUUCGAGGGUGGAAGACGGGAGGAGGGAGAAGAGCAGAAAAAAUAACUAUUGAGUACUAGGCUUCGUACCUGAGUGAUGAAAUGAUCUGUACAUCAGACUUCUGUGACACAAGUUUACCUAUUUAACAAACCUGUGUAUGUACCCUUGAACCUAAAAGUUUAAAACAAGAUAAAGCAACAGCUAACUUCAUCCAUUCACUGAUGUGCUACAACUUUCUCCCAUAGGAAGAUGCUCUCCAUAACUGGUAUCUUAUAGUGAUUUAAAAGCACAGGUUGAAAAGUCCCUACUGGCCUCGCCACCCUUGGUACUCCUCUGACUUCAGUUCUUUCAUUUGCAAAGUGGAAUUGAGCACCUUCCUCGUGGAGGGUGACCAGCAGUCCCAGCUUGCCCAGGAUACUCAGUUAUAGCCAGUGAUAUGGUUUGGCUGUGUCUCCACCCAAAUAUCACCUUAAAUUGUAAUAAUCUCCAUGUGUCAAGGGUGGGCCAGGUGGAGAUGAUUGAAUCAUGGGGGUGGUUUUCCCCAUACUGUUCUUGUGGUAGUGAGUAAGUCUCAUGAGAUCUGAUGGCUUUAUAAAUCAGAUUUUCCCAGCACAAUCUCUCUUGCCUGCCACCACGUAAGAUGUGACUUUGCUCCUGUUUUGCCUUGCACCAUGAUUGUGAGACCUCUCCAGCCACGUGGAACUGUGAGUCCAUUAUACCUCUUUUUCUUUAUAAAUUACCCAGUCUUGGGUAUUUAUUAGUAGCAUGAGAACACACAAACACAGCCAAGUUCCAGGGAACCCAUCAGUGCUGAGCAAACUGAUACAUUUUAUCACCCUCUAUGAGAAACAAAUGCGAAAAUGUGUGCAAUAUAUAUAACAGUGCCUGGCGCAUAAGAAAAGCCCAAUUUAUGUUAGCUGUUAUUAAAUGGAGGGGGUCAAACUUGGUCUUCUUUCCCCCAGCUCCCCAACAUAUGCAUUUCAUAAAAUAAGAAGGAAAUGCAACUUUCCACGACCAGAUGUCAGAUUGGGUCACAAUCUUCCUGAUGACCUUGAGGGACUUGG